rnacentral:rRNA from 1 species
UGGGGAAUUUUGGGCAAUGGGCGAAAGCCUGACCCAGCAACGCCGCGUGUGUGAAGAAGGUCUUCGGAUUGUAAAGUACUUUAAGUUGGGAGGAAGGGCAGUUACCUAAUACGUGAUUGUUUUGACGUUACCGACAGAAUAAGCACCGGCUAACUCUGUGCCAGCAGCCGCGGUAAUACAGAGGGUGCAAGCGUUAAUCGGAAUUACUGGGCGUAAAGCGCGCGUAGGUGGUUAGUUAAGUUGGAUGUGAAAUCCCCGGGCUCAACCUGGGAACUGCAUUCAAAACUGACUGACUAGAGUAUGGUAGAGGGUGGUGGAAUUUCCUGUGUAGCGGUGAAAUGCGUAGAUAUAGGAAGGAACACCAGUGGCGAAGGCGACCACCUGGACUGAUACUGACACUGAGGUGCGAAAGCGUGGGGAGCAAACAGGAUUAGAUACCCGAGUAGUCCCUGAGCGGGCUGGCAAGGCGCAU